rnacentral:tRNA from 1 species
UGUUUAAAAAUAAGUUUAUUUUUAAUUUACAAAAUUAAUAUUUUAAUUAAAUUAUUUAAAC